CGCAGGUAGGAGGCAAGCCUUGGUCUUGCUUCACACGCAAGAGGUCGGAGGUUCAAAACCUCCCGCGCCCA
rnacentral:tRNA from 1 species